rnacentral:piRNA from 1 species
GGAAGCUUUAACCGAACCGGAUAACAAG